rnacentral:pre_miRNA from 1 species
UAUAACCCACUUCGAGAGCCCGCCUUGGGACAGACUUCGGCGACACUCGAUAGGGAUAAA